rnacentral:rRNA from 1 species
AACGAACGCUGGCGGCAUGCCUAACACAUGCAAGUCGAACGAGACCUUCGGGCCUAGUGGCGCACGGGUGCGUAACGCGUGGGAACCUGCCCUUAGGAUCGGAAUAACUCCUCGAAAGGGGUGCUAAUACCGGAUAAUGUCUUCGGACCAAAGAUUUAUCGCCUUUGGAUGGGGCCGCGUUGGUUUAGCUUGUUGGUAGGGUAAAAGCCUACCAAGGCGAGGAUCCGUAGCUGGUCUGAGAGGCUGAUCAGCCACACUGGGACUGAGACACGGCCCAGACUCCUACGGGAGGCAGCAGUGGGGAAUAUUGGACAAUGGGCGAGAGGCAGAUCCAGCAAUGCCGGGAGAGUGAUGAAGGCGUUAGAGUUGUAAAGCUCUUUUAACCGGGAUGAUAAUGACAGUACCGAGAGAAUAAGCACCGGCUAACUCCGUG